rnacentral:sRNA from 1 species
UAAAAUCUAGAUAAUCAUUACAAGACUACCAAGCCCAAUUAUUGUGCUAUUAAUGUCCAAUUAUAUGACCAUAUUCUCGUUCUCACUCUGUCCAUACUCCUUUCUCCACAUCCCAUACUCUUUCCCUCUCUCUCGUACCACCAAUGCGCGUAUCCAACCCUGCGUCGGCCGCCCACUCCGGCUCUAUCCCCCCAGCUUCCAGUUCUCUCCUCCUCCUCCUCCAAUUAACAGUGCUGUGGUCUUCAUUCUUUUCAUCCUUCAUCCUCGUCUGCUCCAUUUCGCCUGCUUUGUUCAAAGCGACAGAAGGAAUGGAAGGCGCGUAUUUGGAUUUACGCCGGAGGUAGGAGCCAUAUCUGUGGAAUAGGAAUGGCAUGGGGGCGCAGACAAGGGAAAAGAAGGCGACCACUGUUUCGAUGCGUAAGUCCAACUAGUGGAUUUUGGACAAACGCACGUACAAGUUCCAGCCCAAUGUAAUCCCAAGGUCUCAUACAUCUGACUCGCAAACAGCGGGAAGAUCGCUCCAAAGAUGCAUCUACUCACCGCUUGGGCAGCGAGCGCACUUGCCGCGUACAGCUCAUAACUAUCAAUCAAGUAAUUCGUCAUGCUCGUAAAAAUCAGCAGAAAAGCGAGGCCGAAGGGGAGACAUGCGAUAAUUGGUACAAUCCAGUGGACGGGAGGGGCGGAAGUCCACGCGAACCAGAAGAGGCCGAUAGGGGCGAGGAUGGCGCCGAUACAGCACACGGGGAGACGAGCCUCCGGAGGAGGAUGAGUGUGAGUGUGACCGGAAGGGGUGACGUGGGAUUGCAGUUGAGAACGGGAGCGGGAAUAGAAGUGGGAGGAGAGGAAAGGGUUUAGAAUAACACCUGAGAUGAGGCCGACGCCCAUACCGAGGAAGGAAAGGCCAGAUUCACCGACUUGAGAGAGGUGAACUGUCAGCAAAUGUAAUAACUGAGAGAUAUGAUAUGAAGAAAGGGAGCUUACCAGUCCAUCCUCGAGUCUGUUGAAAGACAAUAGGGAAAGCGGUGAAGAAUAAGUAUAAUCUACAAGUCAUCAAUACCCUCCUUUUCUCUUCCGCCCUUCCCUUUCGAACAAACUCACAUGCCAUAAAUCAAUGCACCAUAGAUUGACAGGCAACCAACAAUGACUUCGGUGAACAACAUCUCAAAAGGCCGACAUAGCCCCACCAGGACGACCUCUCUCUUACUCUUCUUGACCGUGUCAUACUUCGCGAUAUAAUACUCCUCCUUGCCUUCUGAUAGAGCUGCAGCUUGUAGUGAACGGGCGCGGCGGCGGAGGAUGGUGGGGGCGUAUGUUUCGGGCACGACGAUGAUAGAGAGGAUGGUCAUGACGCUUUUUUUGGGAGGAUAAAGUAGAUAUAUGAAUUGGAUCCAAUAUACCCAUCUGUAGCCACAACGCUCAGUUACAUAUCCCCCGGCGAUGGGCCCUGUUGAUAUUCUGAUUAAUCUUCAGAUGGCAAGAGGACAGCAAGCAGGCGAAAACGUACCGAGCACAGGGCCUAAGAACGGUGCCAGUGCAAAGACACUAGUAGCCAAUGCUCUUUCAUUCCUAUAAUAGCCCACAUAUCACCAACUUGCGCACCGGCAUUAGUCAGAGGCGAACUCCCGAAAACCCCAGCAAAGAAUCUCGUCACUAGCAAUGCUACAGCGUUAUGGGAAAGGGCGGUACCAAGGUUGAAGACUGUGAAGAUGGGGUAGGAAGCGGCAAAGGCAAAUUGGCGACCAUAUAGUUCCGAGAUGGGGGCCCAGAUGAGGGGUCCAAGUCCGAAACCUGGUAAGAGUUUAAGAGUUGGUGAGAUGAGUAAAAGAGUGCUUGAGUGAUGGGUAACGGUUGACGGCUGGUAGGGAGGUAAGAAGGGGAGAAGGCUCACCUAGGAUGAAGAGAGAGAUCCCUGCUAUGGCUAGUUCCUUGCUAAUCCCGUAGGCUUCCACCACUUCUCCUACAGUUGUGGAAUAAGAUACACUCGCAAAAGGAGGACAAAGUGCUGUCACCCCUAUCAAAGCAGUAAUCGCCCAUCGGUAUCUUUUAGACCAGUUAUAGGGGUUGAGCGGUGAAGAUGGUAAGAAAUCGACGAUAUAUGGAUCAGACAAGGUGCCGGAGCCAGGAUACGCUGGUGGUGAUAGUAUAUCGGUGGAAGUGGAGAGCGGAGAGACAGGUUGGUCGAGGCGGGUGGGAAGUGAAAGAGGUGGUGUGGUGGGACUGUACUCCGACAUGUGGGUUUUGAGGAGCGUGAGCUUGCUUAAAUUGGGCGUAACACAGGCGGUGCGCGGAUUAGGGUCGUCUAUAGGAUUGGCAUCGUCUAAAGACGGUAGAGACGCAGUGAGGCUCAUUUGAUUUGAUAAGAGAGCCGGUUGGAGUGAAGAGGACAUGAUGUCUCGUAGUGCAAUUAUAUUAAUCCUGU